rnacentral:tRNA from 1 species
UCUAUUUUGGCAGAUGUAAUGUGUUAAAUUUAGGAUUUAUUUAUGUAUAAAAUUUACAAGUAGAA